rnacentral:lncRNA from 1 species
UUACCCUGCAGUGUAUAGCAUGUACAGGAUGAAAAGAUCCCAAGUGAGGACCCCAAUCAGGGGGCUGAUAAGGAAUGUUAAUCUGGAUUGGGAAGAUUCCAUGGCACUAGGCUGUACCACAGUCACAGAAAGAGGAACUUUAAGAAGACUAAAGAGAGCAACACUGAACACUUUCCUGGACAGUCCUGUACACGUUUUAUUGGUGAUGCCCAAGCUUAUCCCUGAACACUGGGAAAAGUGGGAAGAUGUCAAGAGAUAAAGACAGAGGAUGACAGACCUGAGAGGGACCGAGUGACUAACUUUCCUCUGCAAGCUCAAAGCAAGAAGUUGACUGCUUUUUCACUUUAACUCUGCCCGAGCAUCAACAAAUCACCACUCUGGGUUUAUGCAACUUGUUUCCUAACUGAAUAAAAUAAGCCUGAAUAUG